GAGCCCUACUGUUAUGGACUCGCUCACGCGCGCGCGCACUCCCUCCCUCCCUCACUCACUCAGCUAGCUCAAAACAGCUAACAACAAACCUGUGGCCAAAACAAAACUAAAUAAAAAUCAACUAAAAGUCUCUUGCGAGAUUAAUAAAAAUAAAUAAAAACACCCCGGCUCUAGUUAGAACGCGUGUUUCAGCUACAACUUCGACUGCUUAAACUGUCAACAGCGGGUAACUAGUGAUUAAGCUAGCUAUCUAGCUUAACUAGCUUCGUGACAAGACCACAAGCUAACAGGCUAACUAGCGCUACUUCCUGGGAACCAUAUAAGCGUUUAGCCGUACAGCACAGGUUUAUUAUCAGCCUUUGGUGUCUAUGGAGACCAGAACAUCUCUAUGGCAACAGUCAAACAGUCGGUGUUGCAUCAGCCAGAAGUUCGCACGAGGGCGCUAAAGGAGCAGGAUGGCGCGUGGCAGCAUCCCAAAUGACUUCUGUAAGACCACGCAAGGUCAAAAAGGGUUUUUGCAGCACACCUAGGGUGCACUCUGCAUCUCGUGUGAAAUUUGAUAACAGUCAUGUGACCCACCAGAUAUAUUCACUAAACCCAGUUCUGUCAGAAUUCCAACAGGCAGCGUUGUGUUUAGCGUUUAUAGACAUACUGUUUAUCGCAUACCUCAAAAUUCACUCCCUAGUAGUGCGGCAUUUUAAUUAAGAGAUUUACCUUCAGUCCAUGGUUUAAUGUAAGAGGGUUAUACUCUCAAAGUGACCAUCAUCUGCAAAUAAACCGAAUGAAAGAG